UACGUAGGGGGCAAGCGUUGUCCGGAAUUAUUGGGCGUAAAGAGCGUGUAGGCGGUCCGGUAAGUCAGCUGUGAAAGUCAAGGGCUCAACCCUUGAAAGCCGGUUGAUACUGUCGGGCUAGAGUCCGGAAGAGGCGAGUGGAAUUCCCGGUGUAGCGGUGAAAAUGCGCAGAUAUCGGGAGGAACACCAAAUGGCGAAGGCAGGUCUCUGGGCAUUAACUGACGCUGAGGAGCGAAAGCAUGGGGAGCGAACAGG
rnacentral:rRNA from 1 species